rnacentral:rRNA from 1 species
GACGAACGCUGGCGGCGUGCUUAACACAUGCAAGUCGAACGGAAAGGCCCUGCUUUUGUGGGGUGCUCGAGUGGCGGACGGGUGAGUAACACGUGAGUAACCUGCCCUUGACUUUGGGAUAACUUCAGGAAACUGGGGCUAAUACCGGAUAGGAGCUCCUGCUGCAUGGUGGGGGUUGGAAAGUUUCGGCGGUUGGGGAUGGACUCGCGGCUUAUCAGCUUGUUGGUGGGGUAGUGGCUUACCAAGGCUUUGACGGGUAGCCGGCCUGAGAGGGUGACCGGCCACAUUGGGACUGAGAUACGGCCCAGACUCCUACGGGAGGCAGCAGUGGGGAAUAUUGCACAAUGGGCAGAAGCCUGAUGCAGCAACGCCGCGUGCGGGAUGACGGCCUUCGGGUUGUAAACCGCUUUCGCCUGUGACGAAGCGUGAGUGACGGUAAUGGGUAAAGAAGCACCGGCUAACUACGUG